rfam:Salmo salar isolate Sally breed double haploid chromosome ssa11, whole genome shotgun sequence.
CCAAAGGCUCUUUUUAAGAGCCAUCCACAUUGCAAUAAGAGUAUUCU